rnacentral:miRNA from 1 species
CUGAUGUCUGUCACUCACUGG